rnacentral:rRNA from 1 species
UAGUAUCGUGAUCAGAAUGUCACGGUGAAUACGUUCCCGGGCCUUGUACACACCGCCCGUCACACCAUGGGAGUGGGCUGCACCAGAAGUAGAUAGCUUAACCUUCGGGAGGGCGUUUACCACGGUGUGGUUCAUGACUGGGGUGAAGUCGUAACAAGGUAGCCCUAGGGGAACCUGGGGCUGGAUCACCUCCUUACCUAA